CCUACGGUGAGCAGCAGUGGGGAAUAUUGGGCAAUGGGCGCAAGCCUGACCCAGCAACGCCGCGUGAAGGAAGAAGGCUUUCGGGUUGUUAACUUUUUUUCUGAGGGAAGAAGAAAGUGACGCUACCUCACGAAUAAGACACGGCUCACUACGUGCCAGGAGCCGCGGUGAUACGUAGGUCGCAAGCAUUAUACGGAUUUAUUUGGUGUAAAGGGCGUGUAGGCGGGAAGGCAAGACAGAUGUGAAAUCUCAGGGCCCAACCCUGAGCCGGCAUUUGAAACUGUUUUUCUUGAGUGCUGGAGAGGCAAUCGGAAUGCCGUGUGUAGCGGUGAAAUGCGUAGAUAUACGGAGGAACACCAGUGGAGAAGGCGGAUUGCUGGACAGUAACUGACGCUGAGGCGCGAAAGCGUGGGGAGCAAACAGGAUUAGAUACCCUGGUAGUC
rnacentral:rRNA from 1 species